GCGGAUGUGGCGGAACUGGUAGACGCCCUGGAUUUAGGUUCCAGUGCCGAAAGGCGUGGGGGUUCGAGUCCCUUCAUCCGCA
rfam:Mesorhizobium huakuii 7653R genome.